UCGAGAAUCUUCGGCAAUGGGCGCAAGCCUGACCGAGCGACGCCGCGUGGAGGACGAAGGCCUUCGGGUUGUAAACUCCUGUCGAGGGGGAACAAGGGGCGACGAAGAGUCGUCCUUGAGUGAUCCCUGGAGGAAGCACGGGCUAAGUUCGUGCCAGCAGCCGCGGUAAGACGAACCGUGCGAACGUUAUUCGGAAUCACUGGGCUUAAAGCGCGUGUAGGCGGCCCGGCACGUCCGUUGUUGAAAGCC
rnacentral:rRNA from 1 species